GUCAGGUUUGCAGAUGAUACAAAGAUUGGUGGGGGCAGGUAGUGUUGAGGAAACAGGUGGGAUGCAGAAGGACUUGGAUUAGGAGAAUGGGCAUGAAAGUGGCAAAUGAAAUACAAUGUUGGAAAAUGUAUGGUCAUGCACUUUGGUAGUAGAAAUAAAUGUGCAGACUAUUUUCUAAACGGGGAAAAACGGGAAAAAAAACUGAGAUGCAGAGGGACUUGUGGGUCCUUGUGCAGAAUAUCCUGAAGGUUAACUUGCAGGUUGAGUCCGGUGUGAGGAAGGCAAAUGUAAUGUAAGCAUUCAUUUCAAGAGCUCUCGAACACAAGAGCAAGGAUGUGAUGCUGAGGCUUUAUAAGGCACUGGUGAGGCCUCACCUUGAGUAUUGUGAACAGUUUUGGGCCCCUCAUCUUAGAAGAAAUGUGCUGGCAUUGGAGAGGGUCCAGAGGAGGUUCACUAGGAUGAUGCAAGGAAUUAAAGGAUUAUCGUACGAGGAAUGUUUAAAUAGUUCUGGGUCUGGAAUUCAGAAGGUUGAGGAGGGAUCUCAUUGAAACCUUUCGAAUGUUGAAAGGCCUCGACAGAGUAGAUGUGGAAAGGAUGUUUCCCAUGGUGGGAGAGUCUAGGACGAGAGGGCACAUCUCAGGACUCAGGAUAGAGGGGCGCUCUUUCAAAACAGAGAUACGGAGAAAUUUCUUUAGCCAAAGGGUGAUGAAUUUGUGGAAUUUGUUGCCACAUGCAGCUGUGGAGGCCAGGUCAUUGGGUGUAUUUAAGGUAGAGAUUGAUAGGUUCUUGAUUGGACAUGACAUCAAAGGUUACGGGAAGAAGGCUGGGAACUGGGGUUGAGGAGGAGAUAGAGAAAAAGGAUCAGCCAUGAUUGAAUGGUGGAGUAGACUCGAUGGGCCAGAUGGCCUAAUUCUGCUCCUAUGUCUUAUAGACCAUAAUCAGUCAUAAUCACUAGAUCUGCAAUCACAGUCGAAGCAUUGGCCGACUCUCAUGGACCUGAGGUGAGGAGAUUUGAAGACUCUCUGCUCCUAUACAGGUUGUUGGUGAGAGCGGUCCAGGGCUAUCUUUUUUUUUUGAAGCUUAUACGGGAUGGGAUCCCGAGGUUAAUUCCAGGAGGGGGGGUGUGGGGGGCGUGUCCUCCGAGGAUGGGGUGGGUAAGAGGUGUUGCCCUGAAACACCAAAUGGAUCUGAUGGAGGCCAGCGGCCAUUGAAACAUCUUCCUCUUUCUGGUUCGGUUGUGUUUUAUAAAAUUAUGAGAGUUGUAGAUGGAGUACACAACCAUAUCAUUUCCAUAAAUACAGAGAUGCAGGAAAUCCAGAGCAGCACACACGAAGUUCGGAGGAACUCAGCAGGUCGGGUAGCAUCUACGGUUUUGGUUUGUAGUAUGUUUCCCAGGGUUGACAUGUCUAAUACCAGAGGGACAUGCAUUGAAGGUAAGAGGGGGUAAUUUCAAAGGAGAAGGGGGGGGGAGGUUUUUAUACAGAUAGUGGUGGAAUGUGCUACCUGGGGUGGUGGCAGAGGCAGAUACAGUGGGGACUUAAAGCGACAUUUAGACGGGUGUGAGGAAAAUGGAAGGAAAUGGACGUUCUGUAGGUCCGCCACUUGGUUGCUAAUUUAAUCGGUUCAGCACAACUUUGUGGGCCGAACGGCCUGUAACAGUGCUGUGCGUUCCCUGACUCAGUUCCAACUGCUUGUGUUGGCUGACUUGUACUCGUUCUUGUUAUUCAUUACUUUGCUAAUUUUAUUAAUUGUUGUAAUUUAUAGUGAUGUCUAUGCACUGUACUGCUGAAGAUAAAUUUCACGUCAGUGAUUCUGCCUACUAGUCUCGGUACCGGGGAGGGGUUUGAGAGUUGCACAUUCAUUGUUUAAAUCCGUGUGUUGUCUCGCCCUGUAGGGGCUUUGCCCCGUCACCACACAGUCCAUGUUCACCGGAGACCGUCAGUGAGGCGAUGCUGUUGGUGGUGGGGGGAGGGGAGGGGAGGGAGAGAGAGGGUGAGAAGGAGAGCGGGAGAGGGGAAGAGAGAGAGAGAUUCCGACAGAGGUGAGAGGAACAGUGUGACCCUGAUCCAAGGUUUUGGCCAGGAGAGGACAGAGAUGCGAGUAGGAACCAAACCAGGGACACGGGUGGUCGGGACAGACGAUGUGAACUGAUUUCACGCUGGUUCCAACUGGUUGUAUCUCCGUCUGAUAUGGAGGGGACACUGCAGAAAGUUGUAUACUCAGUCAUCUCCAUCAUGGGCCCUCGCCUCUCCAGCAUCGAGCAUCUUCAAAAGGCAAUGGCUCAAACGGGAGGCAUCCAUCAUUAAGGAUCCCAUCGCCCAGGACAUAUCCUCGUCUCAUUGCUACCAUCAGGUAGGAGGUGCAGAAACUUGAAGACACACACUCGGCAAUUCAGUAACAGCUUCGUCCCCUCUGCCAUCUGAUUUCUGAAUGGGGAUUGAACCCGUGAACACUACCUCGAUAAUUUUUGUUCUCUUUUUGAAAUAUUUACAGAACUAGAUGUGUGUUUCUUAUUGUAUACUUUUAUCAUGAUGUGUCUGCUGCUGCAAAACACCGCAAUCCGCGACAUAGGCCAGUGAUUCCGGUGGAGCGACCCCUCGAGCGGCCACAAGGGGGAGCAGUGGCUUAGCGGUUCAAGUACAGACAGCGUCUUCAGUGCCGGGAAACGUCCCACCGUGACUCAGUCAGUCAAGUUUAUAACCAAAGUACGUAUGUCACCAUACACUACUUUGAGAUUUAUUUUCUUGCAGGGAUUGACAGGAAGAUAAAUUCAAUAGAUUUAUUUAAAAACUAUGCAUACGCAAAGACAUAACCAAUGUUAUAAAAGACAAGCUGUGCAGAUAAACUCUGCAUUGCAUACACAGACACUUGGGGGCGAGUCUGUAGGGUUCGGAAUCAGCUGUGUUGUAUCAGUGAAGUUCAGCCCCUCUUUGCGUUCUAAAUAAUUCAUUAACGGGUUCUCUGGGAGUGAAUGGUCUUCAAACCGUCCUAUCUGCAGAAGCCCUGCUGGUCACUAACAGGUGUGUUUAGCCAGCCUCCUGAAUUGUGUCGGUCCCUAGUCUGGCAUCGGUCAGGGCCAUUCCUGGGCCGGUCAAGCCUGGGUGCCACACAAGACGACUUCCCCAACAACUAAUCUACUGCUGCCUGGAGUUAACAAACACGGACUCGUUUAAUUACCGCACGUAAUGCUGGAGGAAAUGAGCAGAUCAGGAAACAUCUAUGGAGAGGAAUAAACAGUCAACGUUUCAGGCCGGUAUCUUUCUUCCUUUAAAUUUAAUUAACGAGUUACUACUUUGAAUGACUGUUUCUUAAGGUUGUUAUAUACGGGGUGGGAGUGUGGUGGUAGGUCCCGCUACCUAUUAAAUGCUCCCAAUGGCGAGUCUCAAACCGCUUCUAACGACCGAGUCCAGCGGAACCGUUUCUACUGGCAAAAGGGGCAAAGGAGGGUCACUGACGCCUUAAAACCGGUCCACUUGGGGCAGAUGGGGCUGGUCAGCUGUGCUUGCCCAUUUAUCUAGAAGGGAAACUCUGAUCUCAAACCUCCACUCCCUUGCGGCUAUCCCCACUCAUGGGGAAGUAACUGCCGAAGAUCAAUCCGGAGUGGAAAUCCCCGAGGCAAUCACAUGUUGAGUUCAACAGUGACUGGCAACUUCUCACCGCCGCCGCUGGCGCCAGUCCGUAUCCGUCCUCCCGUCGGAUGCAACCGCCGCGCAAAGAGGGCGAGCCCGCUACUUGGGCAACAGCUCGCAAAGAAGACCAAAUCUGCAGACGCUGGGAAUCCAACCCGCACAUGCAAAAUGCUAGAGGAACUCAGCAGGCCUGGCAGAGUCUACAGCCAAAAAAAAGUACAGUCGACGUUUCCGGGCCGAAACCCUUCAGCAGGACUGGAGAAAAAAAAUUGAGGAGUAGAUUUAAAGGGGAGGGGAGGGAGAGAGAAACACCAGGAGAUGGGUGAAACUUGGCGGGGGGGGGGAGAGAUAAAGCAAAGAGCUAGGCAAUUGAUAGGUAAGAGAAAAGGCCAUGAUAGAAAGGGGGGGGGGAAGAGCACCAGAGGGUGGGGAAUGGUGAAGGAGGAGCGAUGGGGGUAUUACUGGAAGUUUGAGAAAUCAAUGUUCAUGCCAUCAGGUUGGAGACUACCCAGAGGAAUACAAGAUGUUGUCCCUCCAACCUGAGUGUGGCCUCAUCAUGACAGUAGAGGAGGCCAUGGAUGGACAUAUCGGAAUGGGAACGAGAAAAUCUGCAGGUGCUGGAAAUCCAAACAACACAAACACAAUGCUGGAGGAACUCAGCAGGCCAGGCAGCAUCCUUGGAAAAGAGCACAGUCGAGCAGAUUUGAAAGGUGGGGAGAAACCUGGAGAGGGAAGAGACAAAGACCUGGGAGAUGAUCAGUGAAAGAGAUACAGGGUUGGAGAAAAGGAAGACCAUGGAAGAAAGGAAGGGGGGGGGGGGG